GACGAACGCUGGCGGCGUGCCUAAUACAUGCAAGUCGAGCGCGGGAAGCUGACGGAACUCUUCGGAGAGAAGGCAGUGGAAUGAGCGGCGGACGGGUGAGUAACACGUAAGGAACCUGCCUCAAGGAUUGGGAUAACUCCGAGAAAUCGGAGCUAAUACCGGAUAGUUCAACGGACCGCAUGGUCCGCUGAUGAAAGGCGCUUCGGCGUCACCUUGAGAUGGCCUUGCGGUGCAUUAGCUAGUUGGUGGGGUAACGGCCCACCAAGGCGACGAUGCAUAGCCGACCUGAGAGGGUGAUCGGCCACACUGGGACUGAGACACGGCCCAGACUCCUACGGGAGGCAGCAGUAGGGAAUCUUCCACAAUUGACGAAAGUCUGAUGGAGCAACGCCGCGUGAGUGAUGAAGGUUUUCGGAUCGUAAAACUCUGUUGUAAGGGAAGAACACGUACGAGAGGGAAUGCUCGUACCUUGACGGUACCUUACGAGAAAGCCACGGCUAACUACGUGCCAGCCGCCGCGGUAA
rnacentral:rRNA from 1 species